AUGGCUCAGUGGUAGAGCGUGUGAUUAGCAUGCACAGGCCCUGGGUUCAAUCCCCAGU
rnacentral:tRNA from 1 species